AGCAGCCGCGGUAAUUCCAGCUCCAAUAGCGUAUAUUAAAGUUGUUGCAGUUAAAAAGCUCGUAGUUGAAUUUCGGGAUUGACGUGAUGGUCGUGCCUUAAGGGGUAUGAACUGUUGCUGUUGAUUUCUCACCUUCUGGAGAAACUUGAUGUCCUUAAUUGGGUGUCUUGCGGAUCCAGGACCUUUACCUUGAAAAAUUAGAGUGUUUAAAGCAGGCAUUUUUGCUCGAAUACAUUAGCAUGGAAUAAUAGAAUAGGACGGCAUGGUUCUAUUUUGUUGGUUUCUAGGAUCACCGUAAUGAUUAAUAGGGAUAGUUGGGGGCAUUAGUAUUCAAUUGUCAGAGGUGAAAUUCUUGGAUUUAUUGAAGACUAACUACUGCGAAAGCAUUUGCCAAGGAUGUUUUCAUUAAUCAAGAACGAAAGUUAGGGGAUCGAAGACGAUCAGAUACCGUCGUAGUCUUAACCAUAAACUAUGCCGACUAGGAAUCAGACGAUGUUAAUUUUUAAUGACU
rnacentral:rRNA from 1 species